UACGGAGGGUGCAAGCGUUAAUCGGAAUUACUGGGCGUAAAGCGUGCGCAGGCGGUUUGUUAAGUCCGUUGUGAAAGCCCCGAGCUCAACUUGGGAAUUGCAGUGGAUACUGGCAGGCUGGAGUACGGUAGAGGAAGGUGAAAUUCCCGGUGUAGCAGUGAAAUGCGUAGAUAUCGGGAGGAACACCAGUGGCGAAGGCGGCCUUCUGGACCAGUACUGACGCUCAUGCACGAAAGCGUGGGGAGCAAACAGG
rnacentral:rRNA from 1 species